GAUGAACGCUGGCGGCGUGCCUAAUACAUGCAAGUCGAGCGAACGGACGAGAAGCUUGCUUCUCUGAUGUUAGCGGCGGACGGGUGAGUAACACGUGGAUAACCUACCUAUAAGACUGGGAUAACUUCGGGAAACCGGAGCUAAUACCGGAUAAUAUUUUGAGCCGCAUGGUUCAAAAGUGAAAGACGGUCUUGCUGUCACUUAUAGAUGGAUCCGCGCUGCAUUAGCUAGUUGGUAAGGUAACGGCUUACCAAGGCAACGAUGCAUAGCCGACCUGAGAGGGUGAUCGGCCACACUGGAACUGAGACACGGUCCAGACUCCUACGGGAGGCAGCAGUAGGGAAUCUUCCGCAAUGGGCGAAAGCCUGACGGAGCAACGCCGCGUGAGUGAUGAAGGUCUUCGGAUCGUAAAACUCUGUUAUUAGGGAAGAACAUAUGUGUAAGUAACUGUGCACAUCUUGACGGUACCUAAUCAGAAAGCCACGGCUAACUACGUGCCAGCAGCCGCGGUAAUACGUAGGUGGCAAGCGUUAUCCGGAAUUAUUGGGCGUAAAGCGCGCGUAGGCGGUUUUUUAAGUCUGAUGUGAAAGCCCACGGCUCAACCGUGGAGGGUCAUUGGAAACUGGAAAACUUGAGUGCAGAAGAGGAAAGUGGAAUUCCAUGUGUAGCGGUGAAAUGCGCAGAGAUAUGGAGGAACACCAGUGGCGAAGGCGACUUUCUGGUCUGUAACUGACGCUGAUGUGCGAAAGCGUGGGGAUCAAACAGGAUUAGAUACCCUGGUAGUCCACGCCGUAAACGAUGAGUGCUAAGUGUUAGGGGGUUUCCGCCCCUUAGUGCUGCAGCUAACGCAUUAAGCACUCCGCCUGGGGAGUACGACCGCAAGGUUGAAACUCAAAGGAAUUGACGGGGACCCGCACAAGCGGUGGAGCAUGUGGUUUAAUUCGAAGCAACGCGAAGAACCUUACCAAAUCUUGACAUCCUUUGACAACUCUAGAGAUAGAGCCUUCCCCUUCGGGGGGGCAAAGUGACAGGUGGUGCAUGGUUGUCGUCAGCUCGUGUCGUGAGAUGUUGGGUUAAGUCCCGCAACGAGCGCAACCCUUAAGCUUAGUUGCCAUCAUUAAGUUGGGCACUCUAAGUUGACUGCCGGUGACAAACCGGAGGAAGGUGGGGAUGACGUCAAAUCAUCAUGCCCCUUAUGAUUUGGGCUACACACGUGCUACAAUGGACAAUACAAAGGGCAGCGAAACCGCGAGGUCGAGCAAAUCCCAUAAAGUUGUUCUCAGUUCGGAUUGUAGUCUGCAACUCGACUACAUGAAGCUGGAAUCGCUAGUAAUCGUAGAUCAGCAUGCUACGGUGAAUACGUUCCCGGGUCU
rnacentral:rRNA from 1 species